UAAGGCCCUUCGGGGUACACGAGCGGCGAACGGGUGAGUAACACGUGGGUGAUCUGCCUCGCACUCUGGGAUAAGCCUGGGAAACUGGGUCUAAUACCGGAUAUGACCACUGAUCGCAUGGUUGGUGGUGGAAAGAUUUAUCGGUGCGAGAUGGGCCCGCGGCCUAUCAGCUUGUUGGUGGGGUAAUGGCCUACCAAGGCGACGACGGGUAGCCGGCCUGAGAGGGCGACCGGCCACACUGGGACUGAGACACGGCCCAGACUCCUACGGGAGGCAGCAGUGGGGAAUAUUGCACAAUGGGCGAAAGCCUGAUGCAGCGACGCCGCGUGAGGGAUGACGGCCUUCGGGUUGUAAACCUCUUUCGACAGGGACGAAGCGCAAGUGACGGUACCUGUAGAAGAAGCACCGGCCAACUACGUGCCAGCAGCCGCGGUAAUACGUAGGGUGCGAGCGUUGUCCGGAAUUACUGGGCGUAAAGAGCUUGUAGGCGGUUCGUCGCGUCGAUCGUGAAAACGUGCAGCUCAACUGCACGCUUGCGGUCGAUACGGGCGGACUAGAGUACUGCAGGGGAGACUGGAAUUCCUGGUGUAGCGGUGAAAUGCGCAGAUAUCAGGAGGAACACCGGUGGCGAAGGCGGGUCUCUGGGCAGUAACUGACGCUGAGAAGCGAAAGCGUGGGUAGCGAACAGGAUUAGAUACCC
rnacentral:rRNA from 1 species